GGACCUGACUGCUAUCGGAUUGAUACUAAGCCAUGCGAGUCAUUGUAGCAAUACAAGGCAUACGGCUCAGUAACGCGUAGUCAACCUAACCUAUGGACGGGAAUAACCUCGGGAAACUGAGAAUAGUGCCCGAUAGAACAUUAUGCCUGGAAUGGUUUAUGUUCCAAAUGAUUUAUCGCCGUAGGAUGGGACUGCGGCCUAUCAGUUUGUUGGUGAGGUAAUGGCCCACCAAGACUAUUACAGGUACGGGCUCUGAGAGGAGUAGCCCGGAGAUGGGUACUGAGACACGGACCCAGGCCCUAUGGGGCGCAGCAGGCGAGAAAACUUUGCAAUGUGCGAAAGCACGACAAGGUUAAUCCGAGUGGUUUCUGCUAAAGAAACCUUUUGUCAGUCCUAGAAACACUGAUGAAUAAGGGGUGGGCAAGUUCUGGUGU
rnacentral:rRNA from 1 species